rnacentral:rRNA from 1 species
GCCCUUAUGACCUGGGCUACACACGUUGCUACAAUGGACGAUACAAACGGUUGCCAACUCGCGAGAGGGAGCUAAUCCGAUAAAGUCGUUCUCAGUUCGGAUUGUAGGCUGCAACUCGCCUACAUGAAGCCGGAAUCGCUAGUAAUCGCGGAUCAGCAUGCCGCGGUGAAUACGUUCCCGGGCCUUGUACACACCGCCCGUCACACCACGAGAGUUUGUAACACCCGAAGUCGGUGGGGUAACCUUUUGGAGCCAGCCGCCGAAGGUGGGAUAGAUGAUUGGGGUGAAGUCGUAACAAGGUAGCCGUAUCGGAAGGUGCGGUUGGAUCACCUCCU